UUACACUGAUUGUUUUGUUUUAAAAUGUUACUGGAAACACUUCAAAUAUAUCGGAAAUGUAUGCUGUCUCUAUUAGUAGUUCAUACCCAUGUAAUGUGGUCUUCUUCUUUUUUCAUUAUGGUGCUUUUGUUUCAUUUGACUUUAAAGUCAGGACAAUUAAAAAUGUCCAAAACUUUUGUUUUUUUUUUAGCAGUUGUUAGUGGUGAUGCGUGGGUUUAUUUAUUUAUUUUUUUUUUUUUUUUGGUGGGGGGGAGGAGGAGGGGAAGAGGAAGUGUGAAGAAGAAAUACCUGUUCUAGGAAAAACCUAUCCAAGAGACUAAGCAGUUUUCAAAUAUUACUGGCUGGAUUUUUCCAAUGUUUGAGAUAAAAGAGUGAAAAGUGCACAUUUUUUUCAGUGUUGGCUCAUUUUCCAGACAUCCAGGAGACUGCAGACAAGCAUAUCCAGAGAGGAGAGAACACAAAUUUGCAUUAGUCAUACCAAGACCUCAAAGACCUGAAAAGAAAGGAACUGUGUGCUUACUGAAGUCUACAUGUUCUUUAAUGAAUUUCAAGUGCAUUUGACAGUCUUUGUCUUCCCUGGAAAUGAGGUCCCAAGACUGCUAGAAAAGCCAGCCUGUUUGAAGUACAGUUUCUAAUCCCAAAAGAAAAUUCAAGUGAAAGGGUAGGUCAAUGCAGAGCACUGCAUGUAGCCAUAGCACA